AGGGGGAAGGCAGGAGGGAUGGGAUUGGGAUGGGGAGCAGGAUGUUGGGGUCUGGUUCUGGAGCCCACGGACGGACAGGGACAGGGGCUGAGAAUGUGGACGACUGAAAGAGUCCAAAGACAAGGGAGAGCAGUUAGGAGAUAGGAGCAGGGCCUGGGGGUGGGGGUUAAGUCAUAGGGACAGGAGACUGGGGCAUGGCAGUGGCUGAUAGAGCCCAAGGCUCUGGGCUGGUGUCCCAAGGUCACAGAUCUUGAGGUUACUGUACAAAAGCUCUCAUACAUAAAGCUUGCUGUAUUGCGCUGCGUUGAUGUGCACUGCAAUUAAUCACACUGUGACUUCAGGAGUGAUAACGUGUUCCUGGUGUAACUUUUUAUUGCAGAAGGAGAAGAUAGGUCGGUCUGGUCGGGGUGCAAUGAGUCAACCAUUAAAGGCAGAGCUGUUCCCAGCUCCCAGCUCAGCGUUCCACGUUAUCGACGAGAUUAAGGACCAGGAUGUCAUGGAGAGGUGACAAAGGUCCUGGUGUCAUGGGCAGAGCUGGGAGUGGGCUGCUCAGUCUGGGUGCCCCUCACAGCACCAGAGGGCCACGCCAGCACCAGCACUGACUGCUCCCUGUGUUUAGAACUUAGAGGAAGGAUUUGAAGUGUGCAAGAGUUUGGCACAUGGAAUAGAGCCCAGCUCUGCUGUGGGCUAAACAAUCUCAGAAGAAAAAUCCUGCCCUGAGGAAACUGGAACACUCUAGGUUGUGUUUCUGGGACCUUCACCAAGUGCCUCUUCUCACCCAUUGCACUGGAUGAAGCUCAGAAGUCAUCUCCUCCAUCGCUCUCAUCAUGGGGGAUCAACCACUGCCAUCCAGUUGGGUUCCUGGCACCUCAGUGAUGGAGAGGUCUUUUGGGUUGGUGUGUAGUGGAAGUACUUCCGUAAUCAAGCAGAAUGACAUCUCUAAGGUGAUCUGAUGAUGUCUCUUCGUGUCAGAUUGAGUUGUGUUUUCUACUCUCUUGCAUUUUGUAGCACUGCUUCCUCACAUCAAGCACUGGCACAGGGAGGUGGUGCAUUCCCCAUCCCUGGAGAUGUUCAAGAGCCACGGGGAUGUGGCACUGAGGAACACGGUCAGUUGGCACGGUGGGAGUGGGUUGGGGUUGGACCUCGUGAUCUUUGAGGUCUUCUCCAACCUCAAUGAUUCUAUGAUUGUAUGAUAAGGAGUUGGCUCUGGGAAGCUUUAAGCCAUGAGUUCGUUUUUCCUUUAUGCCCGUUACAGGUUCCCAUAUGGUAGCUCAGAAGGGUCAGCCAAAUCCUGGCAUCACACACCGUUAUCAGACUGAGUGAUGUGAGCCUGGCCUGACAGUCCUGCGGUUCUCUUAGAAGGAUGAGCAGUGUCACUAUGGUUUAUUCCACAACAAACCUUCCACCAAGGUUGCUGGGAGGGAAUCGCUCGGGCAGAGCUCUCCAGUUCAUUCAAGCACAAUCUUGGUGGAUGUGGCCCACAGCCAGAACAGCUCUGACCUCCAUUAUGUAUUCAGUGACUCAAAGAAACGUUCCUGAGGCUGUGACAAAAGAGAAGAAAAACAAGGAAAUGUACGUGUGAGGCUGUGCUGCAGGCUGCACGCACCGGGGGUGCAUUUAGGAAGUAGUUAAGGAAGCUCCUCGCUGCGCCUGGGGAGCUGGGUCAGAGCUGGGGCGAGUUUCUGUGUCACUUUGGCUUCUCUCCAUUGUCCUUUGAGCCAUCUCAGGUCAGUGUGGCUUCUCCAAGCUCCCCGUGCUGCCAGGAGGUGGGGAUUCUGCUCACAAAGCAAAGGCCUGUGCACACACUGCUCUUCUCUCAAUGACGUUGAUGAGGUAAAUCCUGUCUCUGCUAUGUCCCCAGUAACUGGAGGUCAGCAUCCUCUCGGGGCAGCCAGUCCUGCUGGAACCAUCCCACCUGGGUUAAGCACUCAUCAGAACAUCUCUGAUAAGGAGGAUCCUCUGGAAGAGCUGAACUGGGAGAGAGUGGACUGGCAUGCAUUUAUGUUGGCAGGUCUUUGGAGACCCAGGAAGUGCACCAAGGACUGUGAGAACUCACUGAUAGCAGCCCUGCAGUGAAGAACUUGGGGAUCCUGGUGGAUGAAAAGCUGGAUAUGAGCCUGCAGUGUGCUCUUGCAGUCUGGAAGGCCAAUAGCACCCUGGGCUGCAUCAAUAGAGAGGUGGCAGCAGGCAGGGUGGGUUGUUACACACCUCAGGACCCAGGAGUCAGACUGGCUCCUCAUCCGGUGUCACUUAAAAGCUUGGCUCCUUUGUUGCUUUGUUGACUUUAGUUUCCAUACCUGCAGGAAGCUGACAACAGUUGGAUUUAGCACAACAAAAAAAGGUGAGGCAAGUACAUGGCACUGCUUACUGAUUGAUCUUGAGCUGUUUUACUGAGGCAUUAUACCAGUAGGGAAGCAGAGAAAUCGUGCUGCAGUCCUUGUGCAAUAAGAGCCAUAGAUUCAUAGAGUCAUUGAGAUUGGAAAAGACCUUUAAGAUCCUCCAAUCCAACCUUCGAGCUGUCCCCACCAUGCCCACUCAUAGAAUCAUUAAGGCUGGAUAAGAUCUCUAGGAUCAUCAAGUCCAAUCGUAUGGUAGAAUAACAGAGCGGGAGGUGAGGAAAUGGAAAUUUGGGAAGGAAUUUAGCUUUGUGAUGUGGGAAUGAUUGUGCUUGCCUUUGUUUAUCAAUGAGAUUCUGAAUGUAAAAAGCUUUACAAUCUUGAAAAUGCAGUUUAGCAAUGCUCAGUGUCUUUCUAACCUCAACAGCAUCAGUCUUCAGGCAUUAAUGAAGUUCCCACCCUUCCUUCUCUGUUCUUCUGUAUUAGAGAACUGCUGCUUCUCUCCUAUUCGUGGGACAAAGGACCAUGGAGGUUUGUAGGAUCAAGACUCACAUAGGAAGGAUUUGGAAAACUCUCUGCUCCUACCUGCUGCUCAAAGCAGGGUCUGCUCUCAGGUUGGGUCAGGUUGUGAAGGGUUUUAUCCAGUCAUAGAAUCGUUAAGGUUGGAGAAGACCUCCAAGGUUUCCCAAGCUCAACCCCAACCCACCCCACUGUGUCCAUUGACCGCGUCCCUCAGUGCCACCUCAGGAACACCUCCAGGAAUGAAUGGUGACUCCACAGCUCCCUGGGCAGCCUUUGCCACUGCAUGACCUUUGGAGAAGAGAUGUUUCUCUUCUGUCCAACCUGAACCUUCCCUGGUGCAACGUGAGCCCGCUUAAACAUAAGUGAGACCAGAACCAGACUUCGUUCCAAAAAUGAAAUCCUUUGGUGGAAGAGCUUCAGUAAACUAACUGUAAACCUGAGGGAGGUCUGCAAUACCCCAACAUACACUGUGCUCUGAAGGUGAAAAGUUUAAUACUACAGUUACUAGGUCAGGAAAACAUCCCAGAUGUAGAAGGCAGGAAACUUAAAGGAGGAAAAAACAGAAGAUGAAAAGACACUUAAAAAAAAAACACAAAUGAUGAUUAAUGUCUUCAGAGCAACGUUGAACAUCAGUGUCAAGCCAGGAGCAAAAUGACAGAGAACCAGAAUAGCUGCAGUGACACGAAGAAACGGAGAGAAACGGAAUGAGAGAGAAAGUUCAUGGGACCGCGGGAGGAAGAGGAUGUCUGGAUUUUAUUACCAGCAAAGCAGACGUGAUGCCAGCUGAGUAACGUGGUUGUUGUGAGUGCUGGAGGGCUCUGCAGGGGCACAUGCGUCACAUGAGCUGAUUUUAACACUUACUGAGUGUGUAAUUUCCUUCCCUGCCCUUUGCCAGGUAAAAAAAAUUGACGCAUUCAAGUGAGGAUCUGUAUCCGCUCAGAGCUCUCAUGAAGCUGGGGGAUUCAGCCCACAGCAAGGGGCUCUUCUGCUCAGUGCACAGCAGCACAUCUCUGGGGCUCUACAAUUUGGAGCUGUGUGGGGCUCUGAGCAAUGAUGCUUGGGGAUAAUGAGCAUCCCUGCCCUAAAACCCAUGGAGUAAUGGGUUGGUCUUAUAGAAUCAAAGAAGGCUUUGAGUCGGGAGGACCCUUAAAGCCCAGUUGGUCCAAAUCCCUGCAAUGCAAAGGGAGACCCACAGCUCCAUCCUUGUGGUCCUUUUCAACCCAGGCCAUUCUAUGAUCAUCUCUGGACAAACCUGUUCCGGAGCUCCACAAGUCUUCAUCUCAUUCCACUCUGGGAGCCGUUGCAGUGGGUGAUGUCAGAAGUGCCGUGGGAUGAAGGAGAAUGGCCUCACUUCAACUACAGUUUGCACAAGCUGAAGUGCACUGCAGCUCAGCUCUUUCUAUUCCCAGCAAGAGCAGCAGAGCCUGCAGCAAGCAGGAGCUUCCAGCAAGCGUGGUGUGCAGCUGUCUCCUGCUGACCGAGGGAGGGAACUGCAUGAGAUGAGGUGAUGUGACAGCAAAUCUGACUGAAAAAAAAUAAAUUAAUUAAUUACAGACAUUGACUAAUGAUGAGUUUAUUAAGCCGUGUAUGGAAAGAGUAGUGGGUAUCAUUUGUCCCAAUUAAAAAAAGAAACAAAACCAUGGAUUUUUCUUAAACCAUUUUGUCUCACAGAAUCACAGAAUUGUAGGGGUUGGAAGGGACCUCCAGAGCUCAUUGAGUUCAACCCCCCUGCCAAAGCAGGUUCCCUAUAGCAGGUAGCACAGGUUGGCAUCCAGGCAGGUCUUGAACCAGACUAGAAGAACUGAAGAAAAAGGAAAAUCUAUGGAAGGAAAUUUGGAGAGCAGAGCUGCCAAUUUCAAAUGUGAUGCUUUGGCAAGGAAUAGAAGUAGUGAUGCUACAGAUAGGGCUCAACAGAGUUCUCAGAGAGACGUCCCCAUCCCUGGGGACAUUCGAGGUGAGGCUGGGCAGGACUCCGAACGCCUGACGGAGCUGUGGGCGUCUCUGUGCAUUGCAGAGAAUGGGACCUGAUGGCCUUUAAGCGUCCCUUCCAACUCAAAGCACUCCGUGAUUCAACUUGCUGUGUUUAUUAGGAGUAUUGAUAACAGAUGAAUGUCAUUGAAGGAAUGGCUGCUUUGGCGUCGCUGAAGGACACAACUCAAGUCUCUCCAUUUGUAUGAAGCAGUAAAAAUUACAAUGAAGCAGUUUUCUUUAGCCUUUGUCAAUGUAUCUGAUAUAUCCCAUAUCUGAUGGCACUCCAGCAAUUUUUGGUAAAAAGAGGAACUCAUAAGAUUAACAGAAGGUAAGGCGAUAGAAGAUGAUGCAAAUUCUGCCGGCAGCUCAUGUUUGAUGAAGUAACACUGCAUCAUACAUCAAGCUGUGGCAGGGGAGAUUCAGGCUGGACAUGAGGAAGUAUUACUUGUCAGAAAGGGUGGUCAGGCACUGCAAUGGAUGCCCAGGGAUGUGGUGGAGGCACCGAGCCUGGGGGUGUUCAAGGAAAGGCUGGAUGUUGUGUUGAGGGACGUGGUUUAGUGGGAGCUGUUGGGAAUGGGGGAACGGUUGGACUGGGGGAGCUUUGAGGUCUUUUCCAACCUUGGUGAUUCUAUGAUUCUAAGAACAUUUCUAUGUACAAAAGCUUGGAAAAUGGAUAAUGUUGUGCAAAUCGUCAUCAAAGCUGUGAAUUUCAUAAUGUCAAGGGACCAAAUCUUGGCCAGUUCCAGGAGUUCCUUAAAAGUACAGGUGUUGAUGAUGGGGUGAUCAUUUGCUUUUCUGAAGUCAGGUGGGUCAUUCAUGAUGAAGUGCUGAAAAGAAGUCAUCAUUUACAAAAUGACAUCAAGUUGUUGAUGGGAUCAAAAGGAAAACUGGUCCCGAAACUUGAAGAUGAAAAUGGCUCACAGAGAUAGCAAUUCUGGUGGAUUGGACUGCUUGUUUCAAUGAGUUAAACACACAUCCUCAAGAUGAAAAUCAACUUAUUGAGGCUGUGUUUCAGACCAUAACAAUGUUCAAAAUGAAACUUAAAUUAUGGCAAGCUGAAGGCAUGGCAAAUAAUUUUAUGCGUGUUGAGACGUUGGAUAAACACAAUCAUCAUAGAAUGAUAGAAUGGCCUGGGUUGCAAAGGAGCACAGCGCUCAUCCAGCUCCAACCCCUGCUGUGUGCAGGUCACCAAGCAGCAGCCCAGGCUGCCCAGAGCCACAUCCAGCCUGGCCUUGAAUGCCUGCAGGGAUGGAGCAUCCAGUCCUGUAAACAGUGAAAAAUAAGCAGCCUUGCUUUAUGUUUUGAUAAACGAAUUUGAGAAUGGGUUUCAAUAUCACUGAAAAAGUCAUCAAUUUUUUGAUAUGUUUGUGACUCCGUUUUGAGUCGGCAUCAAUAGAUGACCCGUGAAUUUCCAAAUGGAAUGCACAGAUGCAGUUGGACAAUCUGCACAAGGAAAACGUGGAUCACAUCUCUACCAGACUUCAAAAAGACCUGUCCUACCAGAGAAGAAUAUCCCCCUCAACGUGGCCCAGCCAAGCCAAUAGCUGGACACCCACAGGGUGUAUAACACAGGAGGAGGCAAGGAGCUUUCUGGGCCUGGACACAGAACACUGAGUUGACUUUGCUCCCAUAUCCCUUCCCUAGGACGCGGGAGGAGUGCACCAUGCUGGAUUUGAGAAGAUGCUUUUCUAUUCUGUUCUUUCUUGGAAGAUUUGCAUUAUUUCCUAGCUGUUGCUCUUGUUUGUCUUCUUUAAUUGCACACCUGCUGGGGAAAAUGAUGUGCAGGGCUGCUAGAAAACACACCGCUCUGCCACAGCUCCUCCUGUGCCCAUCCUCCUAUUGAGUAAAUGUCAGAUACUCCAUGCUGAGGCACACUAAUUUAAUUGCCUUGAAAUACAGGACGUCAAGAACAGGAGUCCGUUAGGGAUCCAUUCUGUCCAUCUCUUCAUGCAGCCCUGAGAGCAGGCGCAGAAUGAGAUGGAAUCAGAAAUGCCAGCUACCAGUGUGACUCAAACUGGGAAAUUCUCAUGAUGGUUUUGAAGCCAUUCAUGUCAGUCAUCUUUCUUAAGAUGUGACAGCUUGUGCUUUUUUUGGGUGAUGCUGUGUGGAGCCAGGAGUCGGACUCGAUGAUCCUUAUGGGUCCCUUCCAACUCAGGAUAUUCUGUGAUUCCAUGAUCCUACUUGGUGGGAGACAUUAUAUUCUUUUUGCUGACGUAUUCCCAGGUGCUUUUUUGUCCUAUGGUGCUUAAACCUUGUGCUUUUAUUUCUUUAGAAGGGACUCUUCCUACAAAAGUACAAAAAGUCCUGGCACAAAAGACAGUACAAGUUACAAAAGUCAAAGAACUCUGUUUGUGUGAGUGGUACAACAUCUCUCUCCAGGAAGACGUCAUACCAUGAUGCACCAUCAAACAUGUGAAUGGGAACCAGCACCUUUAAUGUAGGUGUCCCACAAACGCUGGGUGUCUACAGCUUGGUCUCUGGUGGAGAUAACAGCUAUCUGACUGACAAAGAUAGCAGUCACGCUACGCUGAUUGUCAGAGGGGAGAUAUGUUCCUGUUCCUUUAUUUUUCAUCCACCCAAAACUUAUUUGAGCAAUUUCUUAGAUCUCUAUCCCUUGUUGGUAUUGCUGCCUCGCUUUUCGGAGCGCGUCAAGAUUUUUUUAGCUAUGCUUCUGUAUUUUGUACGGUGAAGAAGGAGGCUGAAGGUCUGACUCAUCCAUUGCACAGGAUUCCUAGCAACGAGGCCCUUUUAGUUCUACCUUGUUAUUUUUAAUUCAUCUCGGGGUAAGAAAAGAGGAACGUCAUACUUUAUAUCUCCUUAUGUGUCUGACAAGUGUUCAUAGGAUCAUAGAACAGCUUGGGUUGGAAGGGAGCCCCAAAAUCCUCCAGUUCCAACCCCCUUCUGCAGGCUGGGAUGCCAACCACUAAACCAGGCACCAGAUCAGGUUGUCCAGGGCCCCAUCCAACCUGGCUUUGAGCACCUCCAGGAAUGGAGCACCCACACCUCUCUGGGCACCCUGUGCCAGCACUUCACCACUCUCUCAGUGAGAAUUUCCCCGCUGACAUCCAAAUCUCCCAUCUUUUAUUUUGCAACUGCUCUCCCUUGCCCUGUUACUAUCUGCUCAUGAAAAAAGUUAAUUUCUCCCCUUUUCACAUCUUUAUCUCUAAAUUGGUGAGAUAUGUAUUCAAGGGCUGGAGAAUUCAGUGGAUAAGGAAUUGGUUGGGUGGCUGCAACCAGAGGUUUGUGGUCACUGGCUCUAUGUCCAGGUGGAGGUCAGUGAUGAAUGCUGUCCCCCAAGGAUC